AAGAAGUUUGCAAGGGUUGGGGAGAUUGGAUGAGCAUUUGAAAAAGACAUCCUUUGAUUUUUACUGAGUUGAGGAAAUGACUCCAAGUCAGGAAGAACACCAAACCAAAAUCAGCUGGUGGCUGAGGAACUAUUUGGGGGAAUGUAUCUUUCACUGUUUUCUAAAUCCUACUAGUCUACCUCUUGAUUGUGUGGUUUGUUUGUGUGGGAGAUUUGAGGGAUUUUCUUGAGGCUGUUGUGUGGAUGGGUUUCUGUUAGAUGGAGAUUCAUUUCUGAACUAUCCAGGCUCAAAGGAAUUUCAAGGCCAGCUCAAAAGCUGAAAACAGGACCUGCUGUGGGAGUGAGGUAGUUCUACAAUAACAGGGCCUCAACAAGACGUAAAUCAACAGACCUAUUAGCAGUGAGAGUCGGGCGCGUGAACAGCUCGUGAACAUGGACAAUAUCCAAUCAGCUAAUGCAUGCUUGGAGCAUGGACGCGUGAUCAGGAAAUAAUUGCAUAUAUAAGGAGGCUUGUUUCUGUAAUAAAUGGCUUUGCUUGAAUUCAUAUUGAUUUGUGUGGAUUCCAUGAGUUUUCGCCCUUGCAAGUGGUGACCCCAACGUGAUCCAUAAGGAGAAUUUACGGAAGGCAGACAAUUGCUGUGGGGAGCAAGCCCCAGCUGGAACGGCUCGGCUGGACUGUGACCGGGAUGCAGCCUGCGGGCUGUGUGACUCCUGAUUAAUCACUACAGAAGCAACAGAGGAGGGAUAAAGGAUCCGAUAUUGUUGCAACGGACACCCAAAGAGGUGAGCAGCUGGGGGCGAGAGGAGAUGGGGCAGAAUAUUUUUAAAGAAGAAGAAGAAAUACUGCAGCUCCUCUCGCAUAUUCUCUCUAAGAGAGGGGUGAAGUACGAGCAGAGUAACCUCAAAAGACUAUUAAUUUGGUGCAGAGGCAAUGGGUUUCCUGCUGACCUGUUAGGAGUUUUUCAAAUAGAGACUUGGGAAAAAGUGGGAACAGUGUUGUGGAAGGCGAUCAGUCACAGUGAAAAAUAUAUUCUCGGCCUCGUAACUGCCUGGAAACUGAUAAUUACUACAGUGAAGCAAUUAAAACCUGAAAAGACUGUUAUGAGCAUUAGUGACUCAAAACUUAAACUUGAGCUUUGGGACAACACAGGGCAGAAAUUAUGGGAUAAAGUCAGCAAUGGACAUAAAGAAGCUAAAUCAUUAGCAACUACAUGGAAGCUUAUAAUUACCACCUUAAAAGAUCUUAAGGCUGAACGGUCUGCUGCUGCCGGGAUUUUUGCAGCGUUGCGGCCUGAUAAGUAUCCUGAAAGUCGCUGUGGAGUUUUAUCUGGUUUGUGUCUUUGAUACCCUCCCUAUUCCAUCCCCUGCUGUGCCUUCGGCACCCCCGAUGUUUCAGCAGUCCAAGAAGGGGGGAGAAAAAAUGCCGAGCAGGUGGCCUCCUGUACCAUUGCCCAAUUCUGGUGAGAACAGCAAGUCCAGAGGAUUGGAGUCAGACAAUCUGCCCAAAGAACCUGUGAAAGCUGAUAAUGCUGAGGUCAUAAACAAGUGUACUAUCUGUCCUUUUACCAAUUUGUAUCUGCCUUUACUGCCUUUUAACCCUCCAACUUCCACGAGAGAGCAGAAGGAGUCACUGGAUAAGAACUGGACAAAAGAACUGUGUGACAGAUUAGAUCAGUUAAUAGUGAGUGAAUCCAGCAGUCGGCAAUGCAAUCGUGCUGAUCGUGACGGGAAAGAGGGUGCUCCUGGGGACUCAGGUUAUACGCAUAAUUAUGAUGCUAGAAAGUAUUGGUGAGAAUGUGCACUGUUCGGAACGCCCCUGUUACUAAUGAUUCUCCAGCACCGUUCAAGUCCGUGUUAUCUGAUGACUCGGAUGAGGAUGAGGGUCUGCAUAAUUUUUUUUAAAAAGCUAAAGGGAAAAAGAGUAUGUGUACGUGUUGCCCCGAGAUCAGAUAAAAACCAUGAAAGACUCAAGCAAAAUUAGACCUAUGCAAUGUAACAGCUAUAGAUCAUUUAGGACUGAACGAUGGGGAAUCGUUGAAAGGGGCAGGUAUCCCACAACUCUUGGAACAGACACUAAUUGGCACACUACAAUUACAGGCGCUGUUAGUUUCUGAAAUCCUGAGGCAGUCAACAGAUCUUGCAUAUUAAGCUAUGAUAAAGAUGCCUGAAACCAACAGAGCAGCCAAAUCAUUUACAACUAUUAAUCAGGGUCCCAAUGAGAAUUACAUGCAAUUUAUUGACCAUCUUCAAGAGGCCAUCAAUAAGCAGGUUGAAAACUUAGAAGUUUAGGAAGCACUGGUGUUGAAAUUAGCAGUAGAGAAUGCUAAUGUUUGCUAUCAAUGUGUUAUCUGUGAGUUUUACAGUACAUAUUACAUGCUUCUGUGUAUUGCCUCUCUGAAAAUCAAGCAGCUUGUCAGGAAUGUGAGUUAAUUGUUUUACUGGUUGUUGUUAGAGUUGUUUCUUUGUGGUAUAAGUACAACGUAAAACUUUCUCCCCACUUUUCCCACUCAUGCUGCAAGCAGCCCUGUGCUUCCCCCCCUCCCUCUUCUCAUGGUUUUACUUAUGAGAUGGGGUCAGGAAUGACUGUUUUCAGUCGUGUUCAUGAGAAAUCAGUAUUGUGAAGUGUUCUAAAACAUAGGAAAGCACUUGGAAAUAUGAGGAAGGAAGAUCUUGUGAAAUAUUGUAAUUAAUGGUGACUACUGUAUAAGUUAAAUGACUGGGAAAAGUGUCCAGAUAAUAGAAUCUUGAAGUAUAACACUUUGUUGCAAUUAAUGUUGUUUUUAAGGCAAGAAGAGCAGGACAAAAUAAAUCUCUACAAGAGAUCAUUAAACCAUUUCAGACAGUUUUACAGGCAGAACAGUUUGAACCUCAACAAGCUGAGAGAGAGUUAACUGAUAACACACAGGUCACAGUAAACUUCCUGAAGUCUGCAAGAUGUUUUCCUUAGUAACCUGUUUUCUUUGUAGGUAUCUGUUUAAGAAUAUUACAGUUUAAUAGGUUUUUGUCUGUUAUAUGGUACAGUGAGUUCACAGACUGUUAAAUAAUGAGAAUCCACGGACUCAAAAUGUGCGUUUUGUGAUAAUACAGAAGAUCAUGAGUAAUUUAGUUCUUUACUGCGUGAAUGUGAUGGUAAAAUUUUGUGUGUAAUAGCUGUUACUUUUCUUUCUAGAAUGCUAGCUUUAUUCCAACAUCCAGACUUGCGCAACUCUGUGAUAGGCUGUGUCUCAUCUCGAUGUGCUGGAUUUGGCUUUUUCUUAUGCACAUCAAGUAAAGAAUCCCGGUUUUGGAGUAACAGUUGUAGAGCAUCAGAUGAGACACUAAUAAAAGCCUUGCCCAGUCCAGCUCGCUGUGGCGGCAGGGGAGUGGGUGCCAAUUGGGCUCCAGCAUGCACUGACCUGUUUUGUCAGGGAGACUCAGCAGUACCUCUGCCUGUCUGAGCAGUAAGCAGUUCAAAGUUGCGAUGCAAAAAUCGAGAUAUUGUCUUGAAUAAGUGUAACUCUGAUCUAUCUGCAUAUUUGAACUUGGUGUUUGGUUUUAAUAUCUGAGCUCAGUAUUUUAAUUUGCAUAUUUGUAUUUGGUACCAAAAGAAUUUUGUUUGGGGAGAUAAUUACAAAAUAGGAACCGGUUCCACUGCUAAAAUUCCACCUUGCUCCCCCUUAGGAUGCAUCCUUACACAUUAGAGUAAUUGCCUAUAUUGUUAUCUAGUAAUUUUGAGACCAGGAAAGAAUUUGAAUUGUUAAACUCUGCUUUGAAUUAGAAAACAAACAAUCAAACGAACAAACAAAAACCCAAAAAACAAACAAACACCUAAAUGCUAUAACGGAUGUGAACUUGGUGAACUUGGUAUUGUAUGAGGUUGUAUUUAAAAGUUGCUAGAAUAUGAACUGAUUUGGAUUGAGGAAAAUGGAAUAAUGGAUUGAUGUUUAAUAUACUGGUUUUUGACAUCUGUAAAUUGUAAAAGGUAAAUGGGGCUGAGGAAUGUAAUGACUGUUGAGCUAAUUGGAAUUGCAUAUAAAGAGUAUUAUGGUUGGAAUGAGAUGGAAGAACAAAAAGGAAAAUAUCCCAGGCCUGUGCCUGAACAUGGAUUUUGGGCCUGUGUCAAGCAGCAAGAUAAACUCAGCUCGUUGUAACUGAGGAGUUUGCCAGAGCCUCCCACUUCGUACCAGCGAUUACACCAGCUGCAUGGCCUUGGCUUCAUUUAAACUGCAGCAAGAAGAGAAAUAAAGAAAAAAAGAAAGAAAAAAAAAAAAAGGAAAACCUGUUUGCCUGCUGCUAAGCAGAGAAAGGGGGGGCUUUACUCCCCCCACUCUGUCUCUCUUUUUUUUUUUUUUUUCUUUCCUGGAGCAUUGUCAUCAAUCCUUGUUGUGGCACUGUGUUGCUUCUUGGCUUUGAAUCAGGGGUUGUUGGUGCUGUUUCUUUUUGCUUGUGUCUUGUCUCCUAGGUUUGGGCACAUCUCGUGAGAGAGCUCAUCAUUUUACCUCCUUGCUGAAGUCAGUCUUUUCACACUGGUCAGCUUUUGGGGCUCAGAGUGCUCAGUGCUUCUCUGGGUCAGAGUGGUACUAAUUUGGGUGUGGAGAGGAGCCAGGUUGGUUUGAUGUGGAGUUUGAACUGAUAUGUUUUCAUGCUGGGCUGGAGAUCCUGCCAUCUCAGAUGGGGGCAAGAGGGAGGUUUUAUUCCCCCCCAGCAAUGUUACUGCUAGGGAACUGUAAUACUGCAUGAAGGAGUCUGAGGGUUGAAAUUUAAAGGCAUUGCCAGUGGAUCCAUAGUUCUAAUGAAGCUGGGAAAUUAAACCAGAAUUUUUUUUAUUUUAAUAGACUUAUUCUGUGGUAACUGGUUGUAAGAGACUUCUCAGUAAAUUCACCAUGCUAGUUUUUGAGGUCAUGGGAGAGAACAAAAGAAAGGCUGUUUUAUGAGACCAAUGGAAUGCCAAAUUUGGAACAAAGUUUUAAUACAUGAAUUCUUGUACUUGCCAGAGAGUCCUAUACCUCUCUUGGGUCAAUAUUUGUUAAAUAAAUUGUAAGCUCAAAUAACGUUUUCUGAGAAUUCUGUUUAGCUGCAUGUCCUACAAGAAGCUGCUGGGAUGGUGCAGAUCUGCUUGCUGCAAGUGAGAAAUCUCCAAGGAAAUUUCGAAUGCUGUAUUUCCACUAGUAUUAACAGCUAAUGUUUCGAUAAAGCAAAUACUACACUGAUAGAUCUGAAACAGGACUUCGAUCCGGUAAGGGAAAACAAUAUCCAAUAAAUAUGACAGCCAAAAUGGAGUUAGAAACUUUGAGGAAUAAAUUUAUGACAACCUUACAGGCUGACUGCAUUCGAUUUGACUUGCAGAUUUGUCUUCAUAGCUACAACAUAGAAACAACCUGUGUCUGUUGUGGGACAGUAUGAUGAGAAUGCUAACAGACUGAUAUACCGAUUGUUACUCUUAUUAAGGAAUUAAUUUAAUUCUUAAUAGGCUAUGAUCCUUUUGUCAUAUAUGUACCAUUUGUGAAAUUUAAUUUUGAUUUUUUUAUUUGCAAUCUACAUCCUUGUAAAUUGCACUAGCUGAUUUUCUUAACAGCACAGCUUUUGGCAUGCCUAAAUGUAAAUUGAUGCAGAACCUGCAAGUCUUUAACAUCAGGUCACAGACCAUACUUGUAUCUAGUCUGAUCCUACAUACUUGCACAGUUCUUGUUGAUGGUUCUGGGAAGUCUCAUAAAGCUGUAGUGGUCUGGCAUGAAGAUAAUAAUUGGCAUUAUUCUGUAAAAAUUAUUGAAGGUUCAACCCAAUUAGCAGAACUUGGGGCAGCUUUACAUUACUUAAAGCUUUUUAAGGAGGAACCUCUAAAUUUGAUUUGUGACUCUGAGUACGUAGUCAAGGUCCAACACACGUAUCUGAUUCUGAACUGGUUUGUUUUUGUUUUUUUUAAACAAAAAGGGGAGAGAAGUAGGGAAAACACCACAAAACCAAUUGUCAAAAGCAUUGUAUGUGAUGAAUCACUUAUAUCUUUGUGGUGCAGCUUAAAUUUGCCCUGUGAUGAAACGCUUUGCAAGUAUGACCCAAAACCAUGCUAAAUCAGAAAGAACCUACAUUAGUUACAGUCAAAUCACUAUUAAUUAGUUAGUUGUCAAUGGAAAAGGCCACAUCAAUUGAUAACCUGGGGAAAACGUUACAUCUGUGUCAUUACAGGCCAAGGAUCGAAGUGGAUUCCCAUGAAAUGGGUUAAGCCAUGGCUGAAUAAAGACAACAAAGACUUAACAGAUGCAGACGGACAGGAGGGAGGACUUUCUCGUCUCCGAGCUCCCAGACAUGAAGCAUGUUUUGCAUCUGGCACUGUUGUGGAUGCAAUAACCUCCUGAGGAAGCUCCCUGAAGUUGGAACCAGGCAAAACAACAUGAUCUUGGUGGGCUCUUUCUCUUUGGAGCAGCGACAAGGAGGGACCCAAGUUGGUUUCUCCAUCAGCUGCUCUUACAGGCUCAGCACUUCUCCAGCUGUAAAGGGUGGGUCACAGAAGGGGAGAAGCGACUGUAGCCAGAACGGAGUUUCCCACCAGAAGGGAUUUUUCCCCUCUCCCAUACAAUGACUCCAGGACGUGAGCCCUCACCAAAAAAAGCCUCCGGUCUGCAAAAAAGAUGGCAGUGUUACCUUCGCUCAAUCUCUUGAUUAGCCCAGCGUAAUGUAUUUCUUUCUUCAGUUUCUGAGAAGGUCUGUGCCAUGAGUCUCUAAGAACUGCUUAAAAACAACCCCAAAGGACUUGGAAAUUCCCCCCUGGACAGAGUCAUCAGGCACUCAGAAGACAUGGCCAGGGUCACUUAAUUCUUCAGAUCCUACCCAACUUCUGUCAAAGUUAAUUUGAAAAACUCCCACUGACUUGAAGAGGUUUUGGAUCCGGCUCAAACGGCUCUUGGUGGCAGCAGAUUGGGAGAAGGAACCUCGCUGCACAAUUCCAGCCACCUGCCUACGGGUCUGUAAGAGAGCUUUCACAGCAUCAUGGAGAGAUGGCCGAACUGGUCUCUUCCCUCUGGGCAGGUCUAUGUGAGGACUAUCUCACAGACAAGAACCGUGACCUUCUGUUUGCCAGACGAACACCCACCAAGCUGUCUCUGUGCGAGAAAGAAAUUCCCACUGAGAAGGGAUGAGAAAAGAUUCUUGCAAAGAGACGGGCUGAGUAGAAUGUGGCAGGACACGGGAGCGUGCUCAUCGUUCCUCAUUAGUGGAGGAAUUUGUAUGGCACGUCACAGCACACAUGGGAUCCCGCAACACCUCCUGCACCCCCAUGCUAUCAUACAGUCAAGCUGGGAGGACACAAAGGAACGGCAAAUCGUACAAACAGCUGAGCAAAGAGUUCUGGGAAGUACAUCUGCUUCUGAACAUCGCCAGGCCGGGGAAAAAAAACACAACUGGGAGAACAAAAGAUGGCACAGACUGAGAGAUCCUCCUCAUUCAGCAGGAUUUUUUUGGUUCAGUAUGAUUUUACUUUUUUACAGCUUUUGAGUCAUCAAAACAGAAAUUUUCAAUUUUAUUUUUUUACAACAGGAGCUAAUACCUAAUUUUUCCAUUUUGCUGGCACUGCAGUUUUGAAAAUCCUUUGUAUUUUUCUCAGGAAAAUCAACUUUGAAAAGUUGUUAAUUUCAAAUUAGUUUAAUCUUUAUUUUCCAAAACUGAAAUUAAAUAAUAAUUUUGGCCAGAGGCUAUAUUAAACUAAUUUCAGUUUUUCAUGGUAGAAUAACAUGCUCUAAAAUGAUACUGCUUAUUUCUGUUACAGAAUGAAGGCCAAAUUCUCCAUCUACCCACCUCUGUGGUGUCCUGGCAUCAGAGUUAAUGCUCUUCCUCUUCAGUGCCUCUCGCUUUCAUUAUCUAUUCAAUCUUUUUUUUUACACAAUAACUGACUUUUCUUGUGGGUGAUUAAUGUCUUCAAACAGGUAUAGCUAUCAAAUGGCAUGUAUGGGCUGGAGGUAUUACAUGAAUUAUGCAGACUGCUGGAUAAAGUUGGCAUUUGAAUACAAUUCUCUUAGUAAAAAUUGUUCUUGUUUUCUCCCCUAAUCAGUCAUUCGUACUCUACUUUUUUUUUUUUUUCCACUUUGAUCCUUCUUUUCUAAUUAACUCUUUCAUCCUCUUCCGAGAGCUUGACUAGAGGCAGAUCUGCUAAGAGAGCCUCUCUACACCUGUCGUGAAUAAUAAUUCUAAACCAGAAAUCUGUAUUAAGAAUAUGAUAAAUGGGGGAAUUAAACAUUAAACAAGCUGUGCACUGUGAGUUGAAGUGCUGUUGUUGUUGGGGGUGAUUUUCUUAGCUGUUUUGCACUGGUGUAAGUGACCCCAAGGCAGUGAUCAAGACACUCGAGAGCUGCAACAGUUGUAGAUGUUCAAUGAUGAAAGGACACUUUGUGUUUGCAGCAAAGAAGUAUUUAAUGCUAUGUACUUAAUACUAGUGAAAAAACUUGUUCUUUGAGCAGUUGCAGUAUUCUCUAUGCCAAAGAAAUGCCAGGAUGUUUGUUUUUUGUGAAGUGGUGGGUAUUGUUUAUUUGAAAGCCGUCCAAAACAAAUUAAAUAUGUGUCUAUGCUCAUAUUUAAAACUGAUGUGAUCACUGUACUUGCAGUGUGAUUUAGUAACAAGAUAAACACCUAAUUAUACUUUUUCAUAUUUCUAAUUUACUGUUAAUAGUAUAUCCAAACAUUUGCCUACGUGGUCUGUAAGAAUUGUAAGUAUACUUAGCUAUUAGCUGUAUAUCUCUUAGUUUGUCAAAACGGUGGUAUAUACAAUGUUGUUACAACUUUCAACUACAUGUAGAUCGCCUUUAAUCACGCGAUGAAAAGGAAAUUUUCACAACAGAACAAGUCUGUAGUUAUGUAAAUAUUACUGAAAAGUAUGAUUGUGGAUCUAUUAAUAUCCAUAGCUAAUCUUUACUUUCAGCUGAUACAAACCCCAGUGUAUCUCUAGUGACUGCUCUGGAGUGUGGGUGUAAGGUAAUAAGCUCCUUUGCACUAAGUGAUAAUCACUAUGAGGUCCUGCCCUAAAUUGCCUCUCAGCACUAUCAGAUUAUGAAAUGUGAAAUAAAUGCAUAUAAUGGGAGGAGAACGAGAACCCCGGGGUUUAAAUGAGACAUGCUUAUGGCAAUGAAUAGUUAUGUUGUGUUUAAAGCAGAUUAAAAUGCAUCUUAAUAGAUUUUGUUGUUCUUGUAGCUUUCUCUGCAUAAAGUUGUCUGUAGCUGGAAGUAGGGUAUGUACUGUGAGCCUGGGUCAUACGGAAGUAACCUUGUACUCUUAA